rnacentral:lncRNA from 1 species
AACUCAUUCUGAUUCGCCAAAUACAUGGUACAGAAACCAAAUACAAACUUUAUUAAUACAACUGUCGUGCAAAAUACGACAACAUAUACGCGGUGAGUUUUAAUACAAAUAUUGUCUUGUAGUCAAUAUCCAGACUCAAAUAAAGUACUAAUUACAAUUAUUGUUACACUAUUUUACAAAAUAGUGAAGACUGCUAUAAUAAUCAUCUUGAAUCAUUACUCCACUCUCCAA